CAAUAGCGUAUAUUUAAGUUGUUGCAGUUAAAAAGCUCGUAGUUGGAUUUCUGCUGAUCGCUGUCGGUCUGCCGUCAGGUGUGUACUGGCAGUGUUUGACAUCUAUUCGAGAUUGGGUGUCCACUUGAUUGUGUGCACUCGAUGUCGGAGCUAAUACUUUGAGAAAAUUAGAGUGUUCCACGCAGGCGCGUGCCUUGAAUACUGCAGCAUGGGAUAUUGGAAGGCCGAUUGAGCUUUCUUGUUGGUUCUCGGUUUGAUCGGAAUGAUUAAUAGGGAUAGUUGGGGGCAUUCGUAUUCAACUGUCAGAGGUGAAAUUCUUGGAUUUGUUGAAGACGGACUACUGCGAAAGCAUCUGCCAUGGAUGUUCUCAUUGA
rnacentral:rRNA from 1 species